rnacentral:rRNA from 1 species
GAUGAACGCUGGCGGCGUGCCUAAUACAUGCAAGUCGAGCGAACGGACGAGAAGCUUUCUUCUCUGAUUUUAGCUGCUGACGGUUGAGUAACACUUGGUUAACCUACCUAUAAGACUUUGAUAACUUCGGGAAACCGUAGCUAUUACCGGAUAAUAUUUUGAACCGCAUUGUUCAAAAGUGAAAGACGGUCUUGCUGUCACUUAUAUAUUUAUCCGCGCUGAAUUAGAUAGUUGGUAAGGUAACGGCUUACCAAGGCACCGAUGCAUAGCCGACCUGAGAGGGUGAUCGGACACACUGGAAAUGAGACACGGUAAAGAAGACUACGGGAGGAAGCAGUAGGGAAUAUUCCGAAAUGGGCGAAAGCAUGAAGGAGCAAAGCAGCGUGAGUGAUGAAGGUCUUCGGAUCGUAAAACUCUGUUAUUAGGGAAGAACAUAUGUGUAAGUAACUGUGCACAUCUUGACGGUACCUAAUCAGAAAGCCACGGCUAACUACGUG